rnacentral:rRNA from 1 species
UUAAGCCAUGCAUGUCUAAGUACAGACGAAUUAAAAGUGAAACCGCAAAAGGCUCAUUAUAUCAGUUAUGGUUUAUUAGAUCGUAACAGUUACUUGGAUAACUGUGGUAAUUCUAGAGCUAAUACAUGCAAUAUAAACGCGGACCUUAUCGGAACGUGUGCUUUUAUUAGGCUAUAAAACCAAGCGAUAAUACUUCGGUAGUAUCGUCUUAAUGGUUGAACUCUAGAUAAUUUGCAGAUCGUAUGGUCAAGUACCGACGACAGAUCUUUCAAAUGUCUGCCCUAUCAACUAUUGAUGGUAGUAUUUUGGACUACCAUGGUUGCAACGGGUAACGGGGAAUCAGGGUUCGAUUCCGGAGAGGGAGCCUGAGAAACGGCUACCACAUCUAAGGAAGGCAGCAGGCGCGUAAAUUACCCACUCCCAGAACGGGGAGGUAGUGACGAAAAAUAACAAUACAGGACUCAUAUCCGAGGCCCUGUAAUUGGAAUGAGUACACUUUAAAUCCUUUAACAAGGACCUAUUGGAGGGUAAGUCUGGUGCCAGCAGCCGCGGUAAUUCCAGCUCCAAUAGCGUAUAUUAAAGUUGUUGCGGUUAAAACGUUCGUAGUUGAACUUGUGCUCCAUACGGGUAGUACAACUAAUACAUUGGUUCGUACAUUACCUUAUGUUAUGCGAGCGUAUUACCGGUGGAGUGAAAUAUAUGAUUAUAUUAUACGAUUUUCAAUUGUUAUAAUAAUCAUAUGUGGACUCCUAUUAAAAAAACCUGCUUCAAUGCUCUUUACCGAGUGUUGUUGUGGGCCGGUACAAUUACUUUGAACAAAUUAAAGUGCUUAAAGCAGGCUCCUAACGCCUGAAUAUUCUGUGCAUGGGAAUAAUGGAAUAAGACCUCUGUUCUACUUUCAUUGGUUUUUAGAUCAAGAGGUAAUGAUUAAUAGAAGCAGUUGGGGGCAUUAGUAUUACGACGCGAGAGGUGAAAUUCUUGGACCGUCGUAGACUAACUUAAGCGAAAGCAUUUGCCAAAGAUGUUUCAUUAAUCAAGA